rnacentral:rRNA from 3 species
AACGGAUAUCUCGGCUCUCGCAUCGAUGAAGAACGUAGCGAAAUGCGAUACCUGGUGUGAAUUGCAGAAUCCCGCGAACCAUCGAGUCUUUGAACGCAAGUUGCGCCCGAGGCCUCUUGGCCGAGGGCACGCCUGCCUGGGCGUCACGCCAAACACGCUCCCACCCAACUAACUUGGGGUGGGACGCGGCAUGUGGCUCCUCGUCCCGCAAGGGGCGGUGGGCCAAAGAUCCGGCUGCCGGCCUAUCGUGCCGGACACAGCGCGUGG